rnacentral:tRNA from 1 species
GCCUCGGUAGCGGAGUUGGUAGCGUGCUUGGAUUACCAGUGCAGAAGUCGUGGGUUCGAUUCCCACCAGAGGCC